UUAUCAAGGGGUGCCCGUCGGUUGGCGGGCUGAGAUCAAACCCUCUCACCUGAUGCGGAUAAUGCCGCCGUAGGGAUGAUAAG
rnacentral:ncRNA from 1 species